ensembl:ncRNA C13A10.5 ncRNA
GAACAUUGGACAUUGGAAGAACUGCAAAAAAAAUCGAUAAAUUGGGGUGAUUGCGUACUUUUGGAGCUACAGUAACCCAAAACACAAAAAUAAAAAAAGUUUGACCAGAGCGGGGGGUCGAACCCGCAACCUAUUUCUUAUCAGUUGGAC